rnacentral:rRNA from 1 species
CAGUCGAGCGAGCGGAACCAACAGAUUUACUUCGGUAAUGACGUUGGGAAAGCGAGCGGCGGAUGGGUGAGUAACACGUGGGGAACCUGCCCCUAAGUCUGGGAUACCAUUUGGAAACAGGUGCUAAUACCGGAUAAUAAAGCGGAUCGCAUGAUCAGCUUUUGAAAGGCGGCGUAAGCUGUCGCUAAGGGAUGGCCCCGCGGUGCAUUAGCUAGUUGGUAAGGUAACGGCUUACCAAGGCGACGAUGCAUAGCCGAGUUGAGAGACUGAUCGGCCACAUUGGGACUGAGACACGGCCCAAACUCCUACGGGAGGCAGCAGUAGGGAAUCUUCCACAAUGGACGCAAGUCUGAUGGAGCAACGCCGCGUGAGUGAAGAAGGUUUUCGGAUCGUAAAGCUCUGUUGUUGGUGAAGAAGGAUAGAGGUAGUAACUGGCCUUUAUUUGACGGUAAUCAACCAGAAAGUCACGGCUAACUACGUGCCAGCAGCCGCGGUAAUACGUAGGUGGCAAGCGUUGUCCGGAUUUAUUGGGCGUAAAGCGAGCGCAGGCGGAAAAAUAAGUCUAAUGUGAAAGCCCUCGGCUUAACCGAGGAACUGCAUCGGAAACUGUUUUUCUUGAGUGCAGAAGAGGAGAGUGGAACUCCAUGUGUAGCGGUGGAAUGCGUAGAUAUAUGGAAGAACACCAGUGGCGAAGGCGGCUCUCUGGUCUGCAACUGACGCUGAGGCUCGAAAGCAUGGGUAGCGAACAGGAUUAGAUACCCUGGUAGUCCAUGCCGUAAACGAUGAGUGCUAAGUGUUGGGAGGUUUCCGCCUCUCAGUGCUGCAGCUAACGCAUUAAGCACU